GACGAACGCUGGCGGCGUGCCUAAUACAUGCAAGUCGAGCGGACUUGAUGAAGUGCUUGCACUUCUGAUGGUUAGCGGCGGACGGGUGAGUAACACGUAGGUAACCUGCCUAUAAGACUGGGAUAACAUUCGGAAACGAAUGCUAAUACCGGAUACGCGAAUUGGUCGCAUGGCCGAGUCGGGAAAGACGGAGCAAUCUGUCACUUAUAGAUGGACCUGCGGCGCAUUAGCUAGUUGGUGAGGUAACGGCUCACCAAGGCGACGAUGCGUAGCCGACCUGAGAGGGUGAUCGGCCACACUGGGACUGAGACACGGCCCAGACUCCUACGGGAGGCAGCAGUAGGGAAUCUUCCGCAAUGGACGAAAGUCUGACGGAGCAACGCCGCGUGAGUGAUGAAGGUUUUCGGAUCGUAAAGCUCUGUUGCCAGGGAAGAACGCUUGGGAGAGUAACUGCUCUCAAGGUGACGGUACCUGAGAAGAAAGCCCCGGCUAACUACGUGCCAGCAGCCGCAGUAA
rnacentral:rRNA from 1 species